UACGUAGGUGGCAAGCGUUGUCCGGAUUUACUGGGCGUAAAGAGCGCGCAGGCGGUCGUUCAAGUCGCGUGUGAAAGCCCCCGGCUCAACUGGGGAGGGUCACGCGAUACUGAUCGACUCGAAGGCAGGAGAGGGUAGUGGAAUUCCCGGUGUAGUGGUGAAAUUCGUAGAUAUCAGGAGGAACACCAGUGGCGAAGGCGGCUUCCUGGACACUAACUGACGCUGAGACGCGAAAGCGUGGGGAGCGAACAGG
rnacentral:rRNA from 1 species